rnacentral:rRNA from 1 species
GUCGAGCGGUAACACAGAGAGCUUGCUCUCGGGUGACGAGCGGCGGACGGGUGAGUAAUGUCUGGGAAACUGCCUGAUGGAGGGGGAUAACUACUGGAAACGGUAGCUAAUACCGCAUAACGUCGCAAGACCAAAGUGGGGGACCUUCGGGCCUCAUGCCAUCAGAUGUGCCCAGAUGGGAUUAGCUAGUAGGUGGGGUAAUGGCUCACCUAGGCGACGAUCCCUAGCUGGUCUGAGAGGAUGACCAGCCACACUGGAACUGAGACACGGUCCAGACUCCUACGGGAGGCAGCAGUGGGGAAUAUUGCACAAUGGGCGCAAGCCUGAUGCAGCCAUGCCGCGUGUAUGAAGAAGGCCUUCGGGUUGUAAAGUACUUUCAGCGAGGAGGAAGGCAUUAAGGUUAAUAACCUUGGUGAUUGACGUUACUCGCAGAAGAAGCACCGGCUAACUCCGUGCCAGCAGCCGCGGUAAUACGGAGGGUGCAAGCGUUAAUCGGAAUUACUGGGCGUAAAGCGCACGCAGGCGGUCUGUCAAGUCGGAUGUGAAAUCCCCGGGCUCAACCUGGGAACUGCAUUUCGAAACUGGCAGGCUAGAGUCUUGUAGAGGGGGGUAGAAUUCCAGGUGUAGCGGUGAAAUGCGUAGAGAUCUGGAGGAAUACCGGUGGCGAAGGCGGCCCCCUGGACAAAGACUGACGCUCAGGUGCGAAAGCGUGGGGAGCAAACAGGAUUAGAUACCCUGGUAGUCCACGCCGUAAACGAUGUCGACUUGGAGGUUGUGCCCUUGAGGCGUGGCUUCCGGAGCUAACGCGUUAAGUCGACCGCCUGGGGAGUACGGCCGCAAGGUUAAAACUCAAAUGAAUUGACGGGGGCCCGCACAAGCGGUGGAGCAUGUGGUUUAAUUCGAUGCAACGCGAAGAACCUUACCUACUCUUGACAUCCAGAGAACUUAGCAGAGAUGCUUUGGUGCCUUCGGGAACUCUGAGACAGGUGCUGCAUGGCUGUCGUCAGCUCGUGUUGUGAAAUGUUGGGUUAAGUCCCGCAACGAGCGCAACCUUAUCCUUUGUUGCCAGCGGUCCGGCCGGGAACUCAAAGGAGACUGCCAGUGAUAAACUGGAGGAAGGUGGGGAUGACGUCAAGUCAUCAUGGCCCUUACGAGUAGGGCUACACACGUGCUACAAUGGCAUAUACAAAGAGAAGCGACCUCGCGAGAGCAAGCGGACCUCAUAAAGUAUGUCGUAGUCCGGAUUGGAGUCUGCAACUCGACUCCAUGAAGUCGGAAUCGCUAGUAAUCGUAGAUCAGAAUGCUACGGUGAAUACGUUCCCGGGCCUUGUACACACCGCCCGUCACACCAUGGGAGUGGGUUGCAAAAGAAGUAGGUAGCUUAACCUUCGGGAGGGCGCUUACCACUUUGUGAUUCAUGACUGGGGGAAGUCGAACAAGUUUACCUUGCCC